AUUGAACGCUGGCGGCAGGCCUAACACAUGCAAGUCGAACGAGCGGCGGACGGGUGAGUAAUGUCUGGGAAACUGCCUGAUGGAGGGGGAUAACUACUGGAAACGGUAGCUAAUACCGCAUACUAUCAGAUGUGCCCAGAUGGGAUUAGCUUGUUGGUGGGGUAACGGCUCACCAAGGCGACGAUCCCUAGCUGGUCUGAGAGGAUGAUCAGCCACACUGGGACUGAGACACGGUCCAGACUCCUACGGGAGGCAGCAGUGGGGAAUAGUGCACAAUGGGCGCAAGCCUGAUGCAGCCAUGCCGCGUGUAUGAAGAAGGCCUUCGGGUUGUAAAGUACUUUCAGCGGGGAGGCGUUACCCGAAGAAGAAGCACCGGCUAACUCCGUGCCAGCCGCCGCGGUAAUUC
rnacentral:rRNA from 1 species